rnacentral:lncRNA from 1 species
GAUUUUUUUUUUAGCCUCAUUUAGACCAAACUGGCAACUGGCCCUGGACUAGCCCUAAAGAUGGAGGCCUGGGGGAUGUGCGAUAUAGAUAUUGCUUAACUACUCUCACCGUACCCCAGAGGUGUCUUGGAUUUGCACGAAGACGGGUCGGGCGCGGUGGAAGGGUCUUGCUGGACAGAGCGCAUUCAGACUAUGACAGUAUGUUUCACCACCUGGAUCUGGACAUGCUUUCCUCACCACAACCUUCUCCAGUCAAUCAGUUUGCCAAUACCUCAGAAACCAAUACCUCGGACAGACCUUCCUCUAAAGACCUCAGUCAGAUACUAGUCGAUAUCAAAUCAUGUAGAUGGCGGCACUUUAGGCCCCGGACACCAUCCCUUCCUGACAGUGACAGUGGUGAGCUCUCCAGUAGAAAGUUACACAGAAGUAUAAGUCGAGCAGGACCAGCGCAGCCUGGGGCCCACACGUGCAGCGCCUCCACACAGAGCAGAAGUAGCAGUGGCUCGACACACUGUGCAUUUACAGCCGAGCAGUACCAGCAGCACCAGCAGCAACUGGCACUCAUGCAGCAGCAGCAGCUUGCACAAACUCAGCAGCAGCAAGCAAAUAGCAGUUCCUCCACCGCCGCUC